rnacentral:rRNA from 1 species
AUUGAACGCUGGCGGCAGGCCUAACACAUGCAAGUCGAACGGUAACAGGAAGAAGCUUGCUUCUUUGCUGACGAGUGGCGGACGGGUGAGUAAUGUCUGGGAAACUGCCUGAUGGAGGGGGAUAACUACUGGAAACGGUAGCUAAUACCGCACAACGUCGCAAGACCAAAGAGGGGGACCUUCGGGCCUCUUGCCAUCGGAUGUGCCCAGAUGGGAUUAGCUAGUAGGUGGGGUAACGGCUCACCUAGGCGACGAUCCCUAGCUGGUCUGAGAGGAUGACCAGCCACACUGGAACUGAGACACGGUCCAGACUCCUACGGGAGGCAGCAGUGGGGAAUAUUGCACAAUGGGCGCAAGCCUGAUGCAGCCAUGCCGCGUGUAUGAAGAAGGCCUUCGGGUUGUAAAGUACUUUCAGCGGGGAGGAAGGGAGUAAAGUUAAUACCUUGCUCAUUGACGUACCCGCA